UUAUCAGAUUAUUUUUUAUCAUACCCUGAUUCUAACUCUGGUGAUAUUUGAGGACACAGAUUUCAGGAGACCAAUAGACGUAGCUUCAAUUAUUAGGUGUGGUCCUGGUGAUUAUAGUAGCACUAUUGUUACGAAAAGGAUUUAUAUACAAGAGAGAACAUACAAUGUUUCUCCUUCUGGAUGUUUGUUACAUCACUCAGAAUGAUUGUUUCCAGUUCUUCCCAUCUACCUGUGAAUAUCAUAAUUCCAUUUUUCUUAAUAACCAAAUGAUAUACCAUUAUGUAAAUGGUAAAUGUUUUCAUCAGUUGGUGGACAACUAGGUUGUUUCCAUGUCCUGGCUAUUGCGACUUAAGCAGCAAAGAAUAUGAAUGAGCAAAUAUCUCUGUAGCAUGAUAUGAUAUAGUGUCCUUUAAGUAUAUACCCAGUGGUGGUGAUAGAACUAGUUCUAUCCUUUUCAGGAACUUACACAAUUUUGGUAUCUUCAUGGUGGCUUUACCAGUUAAUACUCAUACAGGUGCUGAAAAAAAGAGAAAGAGGCAUACACUCUCUGUGCAAGGGUAUUAUAAAAAGACAGACCUCACAACCAGGAUGAGGCAUGAGGUACCGAAUCUGCCCAAUACCUGUACUAUAUAUAGUUACUGGUUAGCUCAGUACACUUAGCCCAUACUUUCAACAGCUGCAGGUCCUUGGAUUAUUACUACGUUCCACAUACUGUUAUGUUAUGUGCAGUUAUCAGUUAUUUGUUAGGCCAAAUGCAUGAGGCAGAGAGUUCUCAUAAUUUGCCUGGGGUUUUGCACUAUCAGCUUCAUAUCCAUAAGUAUUGGUGUCUUAGCAUUUCAAAUUCAGUCACAAACAUGUUUAUUCACUGAACUGUGUCACUAAGCUAUGAAAAUAGUCAGGUCACAUGCCCAUUGUCAAAUCUAGGAUUAUUCUUGUCCUUUAUUUUUCUCUUACUGCACAAAUAUGUGCCCACCAGUGGAUACAUACAUGAGCGAUAUGAAGCUUAGAGUCAAUUACAUAUUUCAAAAUAAAGAAAUGCUUAGUCCUAUAUUCACUGGGAAUUAAUAUAAUUAACAUAAUAGCAUAUCAAUUUUACAUAAAAAGAAAAAACUAAUAUCCUAUAAAAUAAUAGAUGUUAAAGCAUCCAUGGUUUUAUGCAGGAACAUAUAAUUAUUGUCACUGUUAGGUUAAUGAGUACAACAACCUCAUUUUCUAUGCCUCUACCUAAAAUCAAUCCAUUUUAUUCUUUUAAUAAAAGAGAAAAUAAUAGAUUGAGAAAAUGUGUAACACAAGUAAUCAGUAUAUAAUAUGUUUAUUCAUUUGCAGCUAUAUGACAAUUCUAUUAUAGAUCUUUCACUGUGCUUGGUAAUGAGAUAGGUAGAAGUUUUCUGUCAGUGGCUCAUCUACUUCAUCAUCAUUGUUCCACCAAAUAAUGGAAAUGCUGUGGACAUUUUGUAUAGAAUGUAAAUUAUAACCCUUACUUCAACAGUGUGGUCCACAGCCUCCCAGAUGUAAAAUACUUGCUGUCCAAGCAUGAGGACUUGAGUUCAGAUAACCAAUUCUCAUGUAAAAGGCUGGAUAUGGUGGCUCAGUAGCCCUCUAAAGCAGCCCUCAGGAGCUCAGUAGACCAUCAGUGGAGCCAAGUCCAUGCAAUUCAGUUUCAGUGUCGUCCUAACUACAAAAAUAAUCCGGGGAGUAACUGAGAAGUAAUGUCAGUAUCAUGUACUGUGCACACACACUCAGACACACUCACACACACACACACACACACACACACACACACUGCAUACACCUACAUAAAUAUGUACAUUUAUCACACACACACAAAGACACACACACAUGUGUAAUCAGUUUCUAAGGUUUUAUAGUUUGUAUUUUUUUGACCAAUUAAUCUGUCUUAAACUUGGAACCACUGUAGACAUAUUUAAAAGGAAAUCUCUAAUAUUUUGACUUUCAUGGGGUUAUGUCAUAAAAAUAAUUUGUUAAAUGAUUAAAAUUUUGAAUCUAAAUAGUCCAAGAGAUUCUCCAUUAUGGACUAUAUUUUUAAAAUAUACUAACACUGCCUCCUGAAAACAAACAACUUUAAACCUCAUAGCCUUGGGCAUGGCCACUGCUCCCUUGGUACCAUGUAUCUAUACUCUUAACCUGAAAACUCUAGGGAUCAAAGGUCUAUGUUUUAGAUCAUUAUCAAUUUUACCCCUAGAAGACUCCCUAGGGGAGUGUGCUGAUAUAAAUAUUUCCUUUUCAAUAGGGCCCACGAGCCCCUAACUGGGCUCCAUGCUUUCCUUCAUUCAAGCUGCUUUCCACAAACAGCCAGUCUCAGCAGGUGAGAGAAGCAAAUUAACAGAAUUUGAAGGGAAAUAUUUUUUGUAUAAAAAAGUUUACAUUUUACUGGACUGAGUAACUAAUACACAGAAUGAAUAAACUCCAUGGCCACUAAGAGGCAGGAAACACUGUAGAGAAAAGAGACAGAAAGGUCUAACAUGGAGUUAGGACUAUAGACUCCAUCUAAAAAGAAGCUUUGAACAUGAAAUGAACAAAGAGAGACAUUUCUCAUAGGGUUUAACACAUGCUCCAUUCUUUGUCAUCAGGAGCUUCGCAUCUUUGAAUUCAAAUAAUCAUGGAUCAAAACUACUUGGGAAGGGUUUGUCUGGCAUAUGUGAGACCCUGUAUUCAGUACCUAGCACAGAUAAAAUUUAAAAAGAAAGGGUGGAAAAUAAUUUUGUCUAUUAUUCUCAUCCUUAUUACCUAAGGAAAAUAGUAUAGAAAUAAUUCACAUAGACACUAGAUUGUUUCAGGGGUUCUGAGCAACCUAGUAAUGACUUAUAGUGUAAGGGAGGAAAUAUAGAGGCUAUAUGCAACCAUUGUGCAACUUUGAAUAAACAAUGUAUCUGACAAGAAGGAGUUCCUGGGGUAUUAAUGAGAGUAUGAAACCCAAACCUUUCAAGGCAUACUCCCUACUCAUACCAUGUAUUUGUUUUUCUAUUGGUCAGGAAAAAUCUGUGCAGAGAGAUAGUUUAUGGGUCCAUCUUCUUUCUACCAUUCUUAAGGAAUCUGAUGAUUGUAUUCCAGGCACACAGGAAAAUAUCUAUUGGCAAGCAAGAUAGAAGCUGACUCUGUCCUUACAUUACUGUUGCCAAACUACACACAACAUAUUUGAGACAUAUGGUCCUGCUUCUGUGAUCUUUUAAACUUUAUUUACUGUAGAUGUACCAGGGUGAAAUGUAUCAUUUUGUGGAAGUGAACACUUGGAAUGGCAGCAGAUCUUGGUGUGGCCAUCUGGAGAUGGAAGAAAAUGGAAAUUUCUUUCCUCCAAAAACCACAAUUUGAAAGAGGGUUAAAAUCAGUGUGAAAGUCUGGGAUUACAUUAAUUAAAAAGCAGGGUGUAUUACUUACCUCUCUUGUGAUAAAUGCCAACAAAAGUUGAACGAGAUGGUUUCUUUGAACUCACAAUUUGGAGUAGUCACUGCAGCAGGAGCUGAGACACUUGUUCCCAUUCCUUUCUCAAUCUGGACUCAGAGAAAGUUGAACAAUGGUGUUCACCUUGCUUUCCACUUUUCAUUAUGUCCAGGAGCUUAGCCAAGGACAUGGUGCUACACAUAGUUACUAUGGCAUUCCUACCUCAGUUAAUCUAGUCUAGGUAAUUCUUCAAAGCAAUACACAGUUUGUCUCUUGGGUGAUUUUAGACUGUAUCAUGUUACUAAUUAAAAUUAACAUCACAUAAAAUAUAUAUCAUUAAGAUAGAUGAGUGGACUAAUGGAUAAAUACUUUCAUGCAUAUAUUUUUUUUUUUUAAGAAGAGGUAUCUAUGGGACUAGAGAGAUGGCUCAGCAGUUAAGAGCACUAACUGCUCUUCCAGAUAUCCUGAGUUCAAUUCCCAGAAAACACACGGUGGCUCACAACCAUCUGUAAUGGGAUUUGGUGCCCUCUUCUGGUGUGUCUGAAGAUGGCUACAGUGUACCCAUAUACAUUAAAUAAGUAAGUAAAUAAAUAAAUC
rnacentral:lncRNA from 1 species